AUUUUCCUUGAUGUAAAUAUCAGCUCUCAUCUGAAACCUCCUCUGACUGCUCGCUGGCCGCCCGCCGACUGAGGGCCAGCUUCCCUCUNNNNNNNNNNNNNNNNNNNNNNNNGCCGUGGACAUCUCUCCUCUGGGGCAGGGAAGGCAGCGAGAGCAGCAAUUUGCCUUCUCAGAACUGAGACACCAAUCAACCGUGCAUCAGAAACAAAGACUACAGACAGGAGCCAAGGCACGAGCGUGCGGCUUCUCAGCCCUCAGCAUCACCAACAUUAGGAUGGGGGAAGAAUUCAGCCAUUGACCUGUCACGCGAAUGGAAACAGACCCACAAGACUAAGAACCAUGUGGAAAAUGUUAUGGAUACUCAGAUAAGGGGAUGCUAAACCCUUCCGGGAUGAAUUGGACGGAACUGCAAGAAGUAUGGCAUGAUAUCUGAGCUGCAACUGCACUUAAAUUAGCAGUCCCCUACCUGGUAACCUUAGAUACU
rnacentral:lncRNA from 1 species